ACCACACACACACACACACACACACACACACACACACACACACACGUUUCCAUAGAGAGAGGUUGCACUUUGCAUUAGCAGCUCAUGCUUCAGCGCUCUGCGAGUGUUUAUAGCCCUGUGACUUUAACACUUCAUGACUGAGAGCUGCUGCUCAGCGACUUCACCCACAGCAACCAUGAGUUUGAUCAGCGUCUUCAUCUGCACACUGGCCCUCUGCGCUCGAGGAUCCAGAGGUCAGGUGACUGUGACUCAGAGUCCUGCAGUGAAAUCUGUUUCUCCAGGAGACACACUCACCAUCAGCUGUAAAACCAGUCCUGAUGUUUACUAUAGUGGUGGUUAUUAUUUGUCCUGGUAUCAGCAGAAACCGGGACAAGCUCCUAAACUCCUGAUCUACAGGGCUAGCAAUAGAGCAUCAGGUAUUCCAGCUCGUGUCAGUGGCAGUGGAUCUGGAUCUGAUUUCACUCUCACCAUCAGAGGAGUCCAGGCUGAAGAUGCUGGAGAUUAUUACUGUCAGUGUGUCCCUAAUGUCAGUAACUGGAUGUUCACACAGUGUUAGAGCGUCGUACAAAAACCUGGGUGAGUGUGACUGCUGCAGCUGGGACCUACUGCAGGUGCUGAGGGGGACGAUGUGAUACAGCACAAUGACACACACUGGAGCGAGUCCUCCAGUCCAACAGCUGUGUAGUAGAGAUCGUCUCUCUGUCCACUGUGCUGAGACGAGCUGAGAGCUGACAGCAACGUGGCUGCUCUAAAUGAGAGAUUUAACACACGCAGGAGACGCCUGUGUUUAUCUCAUAGUCACGCUGAUGAUUCUUACUUAUUCUUACUUAUUUCAGUAGUUUAUUUUCUGUUUUAUAAUAGCAUAUUAUUUAUUUAUUCUUGUUUUUUUAUUUAUGUUCAUCACAUAGUUAACUAGCUAAGCUAAAUCCCUGAUAACCUUUACUAUAGAUAUAGGGAUUUAAUAGCUUUCUCACAGGAUCACAUGAUUUGAAGCACAAACCAAUUACGAAAGACAAAAUUAAAACUGAAUAAAAUAUCAAGCACCAGAUGGAGCACUAAUGAUGAUAAUC